rnacentral:rRNA from 1 species
UACGGAGGGUGCGAGCGUUGCUCGGAAUUACUGGGCGUAAAGCGCGCGUAGGCGGCUUUGUAAGUCGGGGGUGAAAUCCCCAGGCUUAACCUGGGAACUGCAUUCGAGACUGCAUUGCUAGAGUAUGGGAGAGGGAAGUGGAAUUUCCGGUGUAGCGGUGAAAUGCGUAGAUAUCGGAAGGAACAUCAGUGGCGAAAGCGACUUCCUGGACCAAUACUGACGCUCAUGUGCGAAAGCGUGGGGAGCAAACAGG